UCCAGACUCCUACGGGAGGCAGCAGUGAGGAAUAUUGGUCAAUGGGCGAGAGCCUGAACCAGCCAAGUCGCGUGAGGGAAGACGGUCCUAUGGAUUGUAAACCUCUUUUGUCGGGGAGCAACGGGGUCCUUGCGAGGGCCCGAUGAGAGUACCCGGAGAAAAAGCAUCGGCUAACUCCGUGCCAGCAGCCGCGGUAAUACGGAGGAUGCGAGCGUUAUCCGGAUUUAUUGGGUUUAAAGGGUGCGUAGGCGGGCUGUUAAGUCAGCGGUCAAAUGUCGGGGCUCAACCCCGGCCUGCCGUUGAAACUGGCGGCCUCGAGUGGGCGAGAAGUAUGCGGAAUGCGUGGUGUAGCGGUGAAAUGCAUAGAUAUCACGCAGAACUCCGAUUGCGAAGGCAGCAUACCGGCGCCCGACUGACGCUGAGGCACGAAAGCGUGGGUAUCGAACAGGAUUAGAUACCCCUGUAUU
rnacentral:rRNA from 1 species